GCAGCCGCGGCAGCUGGAGUCGGAGGGGGGGACGAUUUCAAAAAAUAAUUAAAAAUCGAGGAAAUAUCCUAGAAAAGCCCUUUUGGCGUGAAAACCCCAAAGAGGAUCCAGGCUUCCCGAAACGGAGGUUUUGGGUGACAGGAAGGUCUGCAUCUCGACCCCUGGGGCUUUGGAUCCCGAGGGGAAACUUGAAGGAGUGAAGCCGCGCGGGAGUGUCCGGCUGCGGCCCACAAGGGCAGAGACUAGGAACGUGGUGCCCAGUUGGAGGAAAGACGGGAACAGGGAGCCCCGGGAAGAGGCACUGGGGGGCUCUGACCUCUUAUUUAGGGGUGCCCCGAAACUCCCCCUACACACACCUCCUCCCUCCCCCCAUCCUACCCCACCCUAAUCUCCGCACUGAAGAAGCUGGAAAACCAAACUAUGGGAAUCCUACUAUGUUGCCCAGGCUGGUUUCAAACUAUUGGACUCAAGCAACCUUCCUGCCUCAGCCUCCAGAAUAGCUGGGAUGACAGUCAUGCACCACAGUGCCCAACUCCAAAUCUUUUGAGAAGUGUUUGGGACUGAGACUUCAGGGAGAAAACACGUUUCAUAAAAGUGAUGCAACCAAAACACUUUAUUAACUACUCUUCUUUCUUCUGUCUUCUAUUUAUAAGAGAAGUUGCAAUAAAACAGGCUCCUACAAAGACCGAUAUUGAACAUGUACCUUUUAAAAGGUUCUGAGGCAUCAGUGUAGACUCAAUUUCACCUCUACCCUUCUGUCCACAUCUCCAAUCCCAGAUGGUGAGAGUCCAUGCCUGUGGUAACUUCUGGUCAGAACCCAGAAGGUUGAAUUCCUUGCUCUGUGCUUGCUAAGAUGGGAAAAUAGACUCUUCUUUUGAGAGAAAUCUCCUGAUUCUAAGAGAAACAUAAAGGAUUCUUUUUUUUUCUCAAGUUAAUAUUCAGUUCAUAAAAAUGGAGUUUAGGAGAAAUUCUCCAAGCUUUGAAUUUUUGAAUCAAUUUAACUUUUACUACAAAAGCAAAUCUGAAACCACAAAUUAAUUGGGGAAGAAGGGACACACUUCACUAAGGAUUUUUUACUUAGCUAGAGACGCUGUUGUGGUGCUUCUUAAAUCAGAGAGUAUUUCUGGUACCUUAAAAUCAUUUCAUUCUGUGAAAGAGAACAUUCUGGCUGGGCAUGGUGGGGCACACCUCUAAUCCCAGUUGCUUGGGAGGCCGAGGCAGGAGGAUCACAAGUUAAAAGCCAGCUCAACAACUUAGUGAGACCCCUUCUCAAAAGAAAAGAAUUAAAAGGGGUGGGGGUGUGGCUCAGUCGUUAGGCACUCCUGGAUUAACUCCUCAGUACAAAAAAGAAGGAAAAAAAGAAAGAAAGAGAGAACAUUCAAUUUGUGAAGUCUGGCACAAUAUACCUGGCCACUUGAGAUCCCUGGAACUGACAUCAUGUUAAUUCUGGGAGGGAAUUUGAGUCUCCACUCUUCACUUUAGAAAGGAAGAAACUGUGGCCUGGAGAAAUUUCCUGACUUUUCACAGUGCAAAGUCCAGUGUCCAGUUUUCUCCCAUUACUGUGCCUCAUCUUGUGUCCAAGAUCUGGGACUCCUAGUUGGAACUCGACCUGGUCCUCAGCUGCCGUCAAGGAUGCUUACUGGAAUAAAGUUGAAGUUUAGUGUGGUAAAUUUGGAACCAAUCUUUACAAGGAUACUGAAGAGGAUUCCAACAAGGGAAGAUCGGCAUGCCCAUCAUGUCUUCUAGGCUGUCACUACUGCCUGUCCCUUUUCUCCAGCAGCAGAAGAAAGCAGAGCCAUGGGGUUUGGGGAGCAGGGAGAGGAGAGAAAGUUGCUUCACAGGGCUGGCUUAACUGGCUUCCUCUCCUCUUCUGGAACCAUGGAGCUGCCUGUGAAUCUGUAACUCCGUCCUCCUGCCUGGUUGGGCACCUGGGUGACCUUAGCCAGUUUCUUCCAGCCUGGCUUCUAAGCAGUCCUUUCCUCUUGGGUUUAGAUGCUUCUAUGGGCAGAUGAGCUUAUGCCUAGGAUUUCCUGCUCAAUCUCAUGGUUCCUGAGUUUGAAUUUAACCUCUUAGCACAUUAUGGUCUCAUCUACCUUAAGGGAAAGAUGGUCUCAUUGGGAGCAGCACCAGUUGCUCUUCCAACACAGGCAAAAUGCCAUCAACCACACUUUUCCAUUCCUCCAUGUGGGAUACGCCAGGAGUGUCUUGGGGAAAACAAAGAAGACAGAGAAAACAAAGAUAUGGAGAAAACAAAGAAGAUGAGACCCGUAUUCUUACAGCUCAGAGUUUCUUGGGGGACACAGGUGUAUGUAAAACUAUGAUACUGAGAGGAAACGUAGCCCAAGUGAGAAACGACCCUGCAAGUGCCCUCACUAGCUCCAUGUUCUAAUGAGCUUAGUUGAACCACCAGAGGAGAAGGUGAGCAUAGUUAUUCUCGGGGCGGAGGUACAAGCUGACCGACAGAACCAAAAAGUAGCUGGAACUUCUGCUAGGCCACCUGAGGUCCAGAAGCAAUUCCAUAUAGCAAAGAGCAUGCUCAGACCCAAGACUCAGGAUACCCAGACUCCAGUUGGGUCUGCUGUGAAUAAGGUAAGCAAUGGCUGGAUGGACAGUUCAUUCAACAGAUUUAUUGAGCACCUGUUAAUAGACGUGGAGAUCCAAAAGAAAUAAGACCCAGACUCCGUCCUCAGGGAUGCUCACAAGUAAACAGGUUAUUUCCAUGAUAAGGAUCCAUAUGUUCCUUCCUCCCAGGUCUGUGACUUCCUUAUUCUAUGCCUAUGUUUCUACAAAUCAGACUUAAAUGAUAGUCAGGAUGCAAAGCCCCAGGCACAAUUCCCUGGGCUAAUUUUUUCUCCUCAGAUGAGAAAAACUGCAGAUGGCCCCAGAACCCCUGCUUCUUCCUGAACACCUUCAACCCACAGGUAUCUUGCCUGCAUAGCCACAUAAAACCUCAUGCUCACUCUGGGUUGGAAAUCAGGGUUUGAACAGAAGCUGGCAGCAAGGGAUGGGUCCUGUAGGCAUGGGUGCACUCAGGAGGACAGAUGCCAGAAAAGGCCUCGAUUCUCCUGAGAACGCUUAUCUCCUGGCCUGUCCUGGACAGCAGAGUCUUGCUCUAAGUGUUCUCUGAAAUGCGGCUGCCCUCCAGAUACCCGGGCUCCCAAGGGUUGAGGAAAACCCCACCGCCCUGAAGAGGAGUCACGUGGAGCACACGGGGCCCUGGGCUCUGAGGCAUACAGACAGGCUCUGAACAAGGAAAGCCCCCAGGACUCAGGGCAGACACCCACCACCCUGCCUCUUGGCCUCCUCACUCUGUGCUUUUUCCCAGCCCACAUUCCUAAUGCAAACCAGAUGCCACCGCACCCCCACCCCCACCUCGCCCUUCUCCUUCCACUCCUGGAGUCUGCGCAUGGGCUCGACUCCACCUUGGAAACGCCAGGCCUUCUCUCCAUCAGCCUUGGCCUCUUCUAGCAACAGCUCACUGCCUGGGCACUGCCUCCCAGAGGCUUUCUGAACUUCUUUGUGAUACCUAGCACACCAUUUCUCAGACCUACUCAGUACUAGAGCUCUUUGGACUCUCAUAUGGAAAGCUCAGGCUCCCUUCAUCUCGUGUCCCCUCUCGGUGCCUCUUUCCUGUGUUGCACGACCAGUGAGAAGACCGUCAGGCAUGGACACAAGGGGCCUGAGCAUCAAAGGCAAGGGUAUCCCCCAUGGGGUGCACAUGCCAGAAGGGUCAAGCAAGAUGCACUGGGUUGGGAAGAAAAUAGUAAAUUUCUAUUGAUUUUAAAAACAACACCGUAAGGCAGGAGUUUUAGUUAAUAAUCCUGUAUCAAAAUUGGUUCACUAAUAGUGACAGAUGUAUCAUGGUAAUGUACCAUAUUAAUAAUAAAAAUGGGGCCUGGGGAAUAUGAGAC